ACUUGUCUAGCUCAGUUGGUAAAAUACAAGGCUCUUAACCUUGUGGUUGUGAGUUCGAGCCCCAUGGUGGGCA
rnacentral:tRNA from 1 species